AAAUCAUAAUGAAAAUUGCACACUAAGGUGCUCUUUCUUGGAAACUUCCUGCCGGCCCCUCUCCCCCUAUCUCUCCUUCAACUCUGGAAAUAAGAAAUUUGAGUAUCUCUCACAUAUCUGCCAAAUUUUCUACUGAAGAUUUUCAAAAUCGAUUCUUUUUGUCAUACAUAUAUAGUUUCUGAGCAAGACUAUAGAGCCCUUCUUUGAUUUCUUAAAAAAUUGGGAUACUUUGCUUCAGUUGAGGCAGUUUCUGAGUUCAAAUCCAUUUGCAUCAGUAGGAAAAGCAGAAAUCUGCUUAGGAAAAAGUUUCUGCAGCUGAGUGUUUCUGGAGAUGGGAUCAGUUGAAGAAAAGAUAGACCUUGAUUCGGAUGAAGAGAUCCCAUUUAGUGUGUCGCAGUCGACUAAUAAGAUUCAUUCGAUGAGUUUUGAGCCCUCCCGUCAUAUAUUAGCACACCCGCAGUUCUCUGCUUCUUGGGUUAUACGAAAGGUGAAUCGAGUCAGCAUCCUCAGAAGUAUAUACAUUGUUUUGAUCAAGGCGAAGAUCAAUGCAUUGCUGCCAUUUGGGCCGUUAGCGAUACUAUUACACUAUUUUACGAAAAUGCAUGGAUUGGUCUUCUUUUUCAGCUUAAUCGGCAUUGUUCCUUUGGCAGAGCGCCUUGGUUAU